GGUCAAGUUCUGUACAACGGGAGGUUGCUGAACCCCGCCAGGUCCGGAAGGAAGCAACGGUAGGCGUACCGACCGUGUGAUACAGCCAGCUUGGCCUCG
rnacentral:SRP_RNA from 1 species